rnacentral:rRNA from 1 species
AGUGAACGCUGGCGGUAGGCCUAACACAUGCAAGUCGAACGGCAGCACAGUAAGAGCUUGCUCUUACGGGUGGCGAGUGGCGGACGGGUGAGGAAUACAUCGGAAUCUACUUUUUCGUGGGGGAUAACGUAGGGAAACUUACGCUAAUACCGCAUACUACCUACGGGUGAAAGCAGAGGAUCUUCGGACCUUGCGCGAUUGAAUGAGCCGAUGUCGGAUUAGCUAGUUGGCGGGGUAAAGGCCCACCAAGGCGACGAUCCGUAGCUGGUCUGAGAGGAUGAUCAGCCACACUGGAACUGAGACACGGUCCAGACUCCUACGGGAGGCAGCAGUGGGGAAUAUUGGACAAUGGGCGCAAGCCUGAUGCAGCCAUACCGCGUGGGUGAAGAAGGCCUUCGGGUUGUAAAGCCCUUUUGUUGGGAAAGAAAAGCAGCAGGUUAAUACCCCGCUGUUCUGACGGUACCCAAAGAAUAAGCACCGGCUAACUUCGUG